UCCCCCAUCCCUCCAUCUCUCCAUCCCCCACCCUCCACUAUCCCCCAUCCCUCCAUCUUUCCAUCCCUGCGCCUCCACCCCCAUCUUUUAUCCCUUCAUUCCUCCAUCCCUCCAUUCCUCAAUCCCUCCAUCCCUUCAUCUUUUCAUCCAAAGAACAUUUCUUCAGCACAGGAGAGGUGCACCCAGCCCAGUUUCGGGAUUAGGAAAGGCUUCUAGGAGGAGGAAACCUACACUGAGACAGGGAAUGAGUUGGAGGCAGCUGGGUUAGGGCAGAAGGGAAGAUAUUCCCAACAGAGGCCAGGAGGCCUCUAGAGGACCACAUAGUCGAAUUCUGGCCCUCACUUCAUAGGGUGUGGCCCACCAGAGCACAGGAGAGGCUACUGAGGCUGCAGUGGGCAGCAGGGCCAGGCGGUGGAGCUGGGACCACCUGCCCGGCACAGAACAGGGCCAUGCGAGGAGGGAAUGUGGAAGGUCCAGAAGGCCAGGUCCUUGUCUUCUGGCUGUUUACCACCAGCCCUUCCAAAUAGGCCUGCGCCACAUCCCCCAGGCUCCCCAGUGCUUUGAACUCCCCCAUGCUCACGGUUGAAGCCUGCAGCUCCACCCAGCAGGCUCUGUGUCACUGCCUGUGGAGUCCAGCUUCUUCGGGCAGGGCUGUGCCUUAUGCUUCUUAGUGUCCUGCCCCAUGGACCUGAGGGUCCCAGUGUCCUGCCCCAUUGACCUGAGAGCCCCCAGAUAUUCAAAAGAGAAAAAAAUACAGAUGCCCAGGCACAGUGACUCAUACCCGUCAUCUCAGCACUUUGGGAGGCUAAGGUGGGAGGACUGCUUGAGGCCAAGAGUUUGAGAGCAGCCUGGGGAAUUGAGUGAGAACCUGUCUGUAAAAACCAACCGACCAACACACAAACACAAUGUGAAACCUCCCCCUAAAGCCUCCUCCUCCUCCUCCUCCUCUCAGGGGUCCUGGGUGUGUCGGCCUUCUCCCCUUCUUCUCUUCACAGUGCCCCACCACAUCCAGUCACCUAACGAUCCUGCCCACAGCACACCUAGACUCGCCACCAUCCUCGCCCUGCCUGGUCACCAACGCAGGUGGACAUGGCAGCUGCCUUCUCACGGCCCUUCCUGCCUCCAGGAUACACACAUGGUGCAGUCAGAGGCGUCUUUCUAACACAUAAUCUGGGCCUCGCCCUCCCCACUGUCGUGCCUCCUGCUGCCCUCUGGAGAAAGUCCUAAAGUCCUGCCACUGCCUGAAUGACCUUUCCUAGGCUGGCCCAUGUCCACUCCUCGGGGAGCUCCAGGUUCAUUCCUCUAAGACACAAGAGCCAUUUUUUGUGGUCCACACCACAUCUCUGAAGCGGUAGUCCUGGCUCCAGCCCCUGGGCCAUCUUGGGUAACAGCCUAGAAGAAUCCCAAGUCAGGCCUGGCGCGGUGGCUCACGCCUGUCAUCCCAGUACCUUGGGAGGCUGAGGCAGGUGGAUCACCUGAGGUCAGGAGUUCGAGACCGGCCAGACCAACAUAGAGAAACCUGUCUCUACUAAAAAUAGAAAAUAAGCCGGGUGUGGUGGUGCAUGCCUAUAAUACCAGCUACAAGGGAGGCUGAGGCAGGAGAAUCACUUGAACCCUGGAGACGGAGGUUGUAGUGAGCCGAGAUUAUGCCAUUGCACUUCAGCCUGGGCAACAAGAGUGAAACUCCAUCUCAAGAAAAGCAAACAAAUCAACAAAAGUCCUCAAACUGCCUGGUCAGACCCCAUAUCAUCCGGUCCCGGUGAGCUGGGAACCAAGUCCAUGUCCUCAGCACCACGUCCAACACCCAGUUGCCCCUCAGGCAAAAGAAAGUCUCUCUCUGGCUGCAUGGAUGUUAGCGUUCACCCCGCAGGCCCUGCCUCCCUGGGUCUGACUGUUCCGUUUGCUACUUGCGCCUUAAACCAAAGCCAACUGCUUGGCCUCUUCUCUGUCUACAAAACAUUUUCCCCGAUUUUAUGGCUGCAAAAAUUUCCUUCCUGUCUUCACAUUCACAGGCAAGAGAGAGCCCUGGCCCUGACUCAGAAUUGAAUUCUAGCUGGAGGUGUCCUCUCUGUGGCCAGCUCCAGGGAAAGGGUUUAUCUGUUUAUUCCUUGACCUUGAGCAGCUGCCAGAAAGAGGCGAGGCAGGAGCUGGGAGGAGAGCGAGGAGCAAAGCUGAGGACCCUGUGCUCUGCCCCAAGGGACCUGCCAACCAGGUGACCGGAAAUAAGUCAGAGGGAGGGGGCAGCCCUGCUGUGUUCAGGGCCAGGGCCAUGGAGGCCCACGGGGACUCAAAACAGCUAGCGACUCUCUGCUGCGGGUCUGCAGGUCCGGAGGCUGCACCGCCUGCUUUUCCCCAUCCCUGGUCCCCCCGGAAACGGAACCGAGAGCUGGAAGGAGAUGUCAGCCAUCCAGGCAGAAGCCGACCCUGCCAGCCAUGCUGGGGUGACUGGCUGUCACAGACCCUGCCGCGAUGGAAGGAACGGCACCGGACAGCCUGACCUUGUCCACAGCGAGCUUCCACACUAGAGGCGGGGGCACUGGCGGGGGCACUGGCAGGGGCAGGAGACAGAGAAAGAGACAAAGAAAAGGAACCCCUGGCUGGAGUCAGUGCCUCACGCCUGUAAUCCCAGCACUUGGGGAGGCUGAGGCCAGUGGAUCACGAGGUCAUGCGAUGGAGACCAUCCUGGCCAACCAUGGUGAAACUCCAUCUCAACUAAACAAACAACAACAACAAAAUACAAAAUAUUAGCUGGGCAUGGUGGCGCGUGAGCUGUAGUACCAGUUACUCAAGAGGCUGAGGCAGGAGAAUUGCUUGAACGAGGGAGUCGUAGGUUGCAGUGAGCCAAGAUUGCGCCACUGCACUCCAGCUUGGCAACAGUUCUGUCUCAAAAAAAAAAAAAAAAAAGAAAGGGAACCAUUCUCAGAAAGGCCUCUUCCUCCUACCCGCUGCUGGUGCGUGACUGAAAUGUAUCCCAGACGCUUACUGAGCAUCUUUGCGAUAUCCUUACCCUCAAAGGGCCAGCCAUCUUUUCUCCACCUGAAAACUGGAGGCAAGCUUAAAAUGGGAACUGUUUAUUUCAGCCAAAAUAACCUCAUGCUUGACAUUGGAAAAUUUUUUCUGAAUUCCUCCAUCUCAGAUAGUUUGGGAAGCAUGGACUCAGCCCACUGAGUGCCUCAGUUUUCUCAUUAGUGAAAUGGGAAUCGCGAUGGUCUCUAACACCACCACAGCCCUGAGAAGAGAUUCUGCAUUACAAACAGCCGAUUCUCCUCUGAGCGCAGAGGAAGAAGCGUUGGGGAGAGAGUGGACCCCGGCCAGGUGCAAUGGCUCACGCCUGUAAUCCCAACCUUUUGCAAGGCCGAGGCAGGCGGAUCACCAAGUCAGGAUUUCAAGACAGGCCUGGCCAACAUGGUGAAACCCUGUUUCUACUAAAAAGACCAAAAAAAAAAAAAAAAAAAAAUUAUCUGGGCAUAAUGGCGCAGGCCUGUAAUCCUAGUUACUUGGGAGGCUGAGGCCAGAGAAUUGCUCGAAUCCGGACCUAGGAGGUGGAGGUUGCAGUGAGCCAAGAUCAUGCCACUGCACUCCAGCCUGGGCUACAGAGUAAGACUCCGUAUCAAAUAAAAAUAAAAAAUAAAAAAAGAGAGAGAGUAAGUGGACCCCAUUGAGUGUAUCCUACCCCACCCCAAGUUCCUAUAACUUUUAGUCAAUCCUUGAGAUUGGAACACCUCUGCCACUGCAUUCAAAACCUUUCAGGUUUCCAAAGGAACCAUUGGGUAGUUUACUUGUCUGGUUAACAAAUACCUGGGGCCAGCUCAGUGGCUCACGCCUGUAAUCCCAGCACUUUGGGAGGCCGAGGUGGGCAGGUCAAUUCAGCCCAGCAGUUUGAGACCAGCCUAGGCAAGAUGGCAAAAGCUCAUCACUACAAAACAUACAAAAAUGAGCAGGGUGUGGUAGCAUGCACAUGUGGUCCCAGCUGCUUCAGAGGCUGAGGUGGGAGGAUCACCUGAGCCCAAGGAGGUCAAGGCUACAGUGAGCCAUGAUUGCACCACAGCACUUCAGCCCGGACAACAGACAGAGACCCUGUCUCAAAAUGUAAAAUAAAAUAACAUAAUAGGGCCGGGCGCGGUGGCUCACACCUGUAAUCCCAGCACUUUGGGAGGCCGAGGUGGGUGGAUCACGAGGUCAAGAGAUCGAGAUCAUCCUGGCCAACAUGGUUAAACCCCUUCUCUACUAAAAUACAAAAAAUUAGCAGGGUGUGGUAAUGGGGGCCUAUAGGCCCAACUACUCGGGAGGCUGAGGCAGGGGAAUCACUUGAACCCGGGCGGCAGAGGUUGCAGUGAGCCGAGAUCGCACCACUGCACUCCAGCUGAGAGGCAGAGCAAGACUCCAUCUCAAAAAUAAAGAAAUGAAUAAAAUAAAAUAUCUGUAGCCCACAUACAGGGUAAGAGCCAGAGAGUCUGGUGGUUAAGAACUUUGGAGCAAGGCGGCCCUGGAGUCCAAUCUUGGCCCUGCCACCUACUACCUGAGUGACCUUGGGCAGCUCACUUAACCUCUCUGAGCCACAAUGUUCCCAGAACAGAGCCAGGAGGAGUCCUAAGCUCAGGACUCCAUGCAGGGCUGAGAUCUGGCCCACAAUGUGCGCAUACCUGCAGAGAGCCUGGCCACCCCAGACACUCACUAUUUCUAGGCUCUAGGUCCCCCACCCUCAGGGAGUUCUGUGGAUUAAGAAGGAAUGGGUGGUGCCUUGAGAUACUACACUUGCCAGGUGUUACUUUUGGAAAUUAAAUGAAUUUAAGGGUUUUGAAUAUUUGAGAAUGGAGAGAUUUAAACAUAAAAGGUCCCUUAAGAUGGACAGAAGUCUUACCAAUUAGAUUUGUAUUGUGUGGAACCGGGAGGCUUGUCUGAGUCCCCCCUCUAGAAAACACAGCUCUCUUCAAAGGGUAAAGUGCCGGCAGGAUGGCUAACCCACGUGAUGGCUCUUCAAGCUUCUCCUUUGAAUGACCUGCUAGGACUUGGCUAAAGCAAGUCACGUGGCCAAACCUGAUUUGGUGGGGAGGGGAAUUGUACCCAGCACUGGAGGCCCUGCAGGUCACGUAGCAAUGGAGCAGGAUGGAUAAUCCUCUCACUAGGAGGACUGCGAAUAACUGGAAGCAGUGACCAGUCUGUUACCAUUCACCACCUUGGUAGCAAAUGUCACUCCCCUCUCUUGUGUGGGCGUGGUGGAUUGAAGAUGGCUGCAGAUUCCCAGCAAGACAUGGAGUUUCUUCCUCCUCCCCUUGGAUCUGGGCCGACUCCAGCACUGGCUUUCAUCAACAGGAUGCAGCAGAAGCAAUGCUUCGUGAUUUCCGAGGACUGAGGCUGCAGAGAUUUGAGGCAUCUGCUCUCUCCCAGCUUGAAGUGCUUCCUCUGGGAAGCCAGCCACCAUGAGAAAACCACCCGCCAUGCUGUGAGGAAGCCCAAGAGAGCUGCAUGGAGAGAAGGGCCUGUGGAAGAGCCCUGAGGUGCCACUCACAUGAAGUGAGCCUUUGUGGCCCUUCCAGUCCAGCCACCAGUGAAACACAACCCAGCGACGGUCCCCUGCCAAUGCUUUCUCCAUAGGAGAUGUGUAAAUGGGGUGGGGAGGAAUUUUCUGGUCUCACACACUUACGGGUUGAAUUGUUUCCCUCCCAAAUUCGUAUGUUGA